rnacentral:misc_RNA from 1 species
GGAAGUAAAAGUCGUAACAAGAUUUCCGUAGGUGAACCUGCGGAAGGAUCAUUAACGAGUUAGGGUCUUCUAGGCCCGACCUCCCAACCCUUUGUUUACUGAACCAUUGUUGCCUCGGUGGGUCCGUCUUACGACCGCCGGGGGAUCGCCGCGAGGCGCCCCCUGGCCAGCGCCCACCGAUAGCCCAACCUUUAAAACCCUUUGUGAAUCGUGUCUUAUGUCUAAAUUUAUGAUUAAACAAUCAAAACAAAACUUUCAACAACGGAUCUCUUGGUUCUG